AGCCUUUGCACGUUACCGUAAUUUUCGAAUGCAUAAAAUGAUGCAUGCUGGAGAAAAACCCUACAAAUGUAAUCAGUGUGGUAAAGCCUUUGCACAACACAGUCAUCUCAAAAGGCAUGGAAUAACACAUACUGGAGAGAAACCUUACAAGUGUGAUCAAUGUGGUAAAGCCUUUGCAUCUCAUAGUUAUCUCCAAGUACAUAAAAGAAUACAUACAGGAGAGAAGCUCUAUGAAUGUGAUCAAUGUGGUAAAGCCUUUGCAUCUCAUAGUUAUCUCCAAGUACAUAAAAGAAUACAUACAGGAGAGAAGCUCUAUGAAUGUGAUCAAUGUGGUAAAGCCUUUACAUCUCAUAGUUAUCUCCAAGUACAUAAAAGAAUACAUACUGGAGAGAAGCCCUGUGAAUGUAAUCGAUGUGGUAAAGCCUUUGUAGAUCAGAAUCUCCUUAAAAGACAUGAAAGAAUUCAUACUGGAGAGAAACCUUACGAAUGUAAUGAAUGUGGUAAAGCCUUUACACGUUACCGUAAUUUUCGAAUGCAUAAAAUGAUGCAUGCUGGAGAAAAACCCUACAAAUGUAAUCAAUGUGGUAAAGCCUUUGCACAACACAGUCAUCUCAAAAGGCAUGGAAUAACACAUACUGGAGAGAAACCUUACAAGUGUGAUCAAUGUGGUAAAGCCUUUACAUCUCAUAGUUAUCUCCAAGUACAUAAAAAAAUACAUACUGGAGAGAAACCUUACAAAUGUAAUGAAUGUGGUAAG
rnacentral:lncRNA from 1 species